rnacentral:rRNA from 1 species
UACGAAGGGGGCUAGCGUUGCUCGGAAUUACUGGGCGUAAAGCGCACGUAGGCGGAUUGUUAAGUCGGGGGUGAAAUCCUGGAGCUCAACUCCAGAACUGCCUUUGAUACUGGAGAGCUCGAGUCCGGAAGAGGUGAGUGGAACUCCGAGUGUAGAGGUGAAAUUCGUAGAUAUUCGGAAGAACACCAGUGGCGAAGGCGGCUCACUGGUCCGGUACUGACGCUGAUGUGCGAAAGCGUGGGGAGCAAACAGG